rnacentral:lncRNA from 1 species
CAGUCUCUUGAUCUCCAAAGCAGGGAUGAUGAUAGAAUAGUAGGCUUGUUGUGAGGAUUAAAGGAAGAAUCCAGAAAAGCAGUUUACAAUAGUGUCUGGACCAAACUAAGCACUGGAUAUGUGUUAAGUACAAUUACGUGAGUCAUGUUUGCCAUACGCCCUCUGCACGCUGCCUGACUAAUCCUCCAGUACUUAUCCCCAUGGGUUAGCUGUACUCUGGCCCUCAAAUUCCAGGUCUCUGAUGGGAUUGGGCCUUGGAUGGGCGCCAGCACACAUGUACAUUUGCUAGCCUUUUACUCAAGACUGAACCCUUUCUUUUCCUUAGGCAUCAUUUGAGACCCUGCCUCCUGUUUGACUUCAAGUGUCCCCUGAGGCUUAGAGCCAGCCUCUGGGUGCCAGCCCCAUCCUCCAGACUGGAAGCCCUCAGAUGCCCGUUUGUGGAACCCUGCCCCUGGACUUUCAGGAUUAAGUGAUUCCUGGCCCAGAAACAAAAGCAAAAUCGUCCCAUUCCCCAGCAGAUUCAGAUGAAAACUGGUAAUAAAAUCAGGUAAAACUCCCAAAGCAGACAUUGGAGAAGAGCCAAGCUGGGUCUAUAAGGAAUUGCACACGAGAUGGCACGCAUAUCACCACUAUCUGGGGAGUAGGACAUAUUUUAUUGGAAAUAUAGUUUUUCUCUCUAAAUCUGUUAUGAACGCGUUGGUUGUCUGAGUUCAGUAAUAAAUAUCUGAGACCUAACAUUUUUUAAAAAAGGUCUCUCCUUACUACUUGUUGUGAGCUUAACUGUGUCCCCUCAAAAUUUGUAUGUUGAAGCCCUGAUACCCCAGUACCUCUGAAUGUGACGUAUUUGUUUGUUUGUUUUGUUUGCUUUUCAAGGAGGGUCUCACUUUGUUGCCCAGGCUGGAGUGCAGUGGCACAAUCUCAGCUCACUGCAACCUCCGCCUCCCGGGUUCAAGUGAUUCUGUUGCCUCAGCCUCCCAAGUAGCUGAGAUUACAGGCUCCCACUACCACGCCCAGCUCAUUUUUGUAUUUUGAUAGAGACUACUAAAAUAGUUUCACCAUGUUGGUCAGGCUGGUCUCAAACUCCUGACCUCAGAUGAUCUGCCCCCCUCGGCCUCCCAAAGUGCUGGGAUUACAGGCAUGAGCCACUGUGCCCUGCCUGUGACUGUAUUUGGAGAUAAAAGGUCUUAGUCUGCUUGUGCUGCUGUAACAGAACAUCACAGGUUGGGUAAUUUAUAAAGAACAGAUAUUUAUUUCUCACAGUUCUGGAGGCUGAAAGUGCAAGAUCAAGGUGCUGGCAUUUGGUGUCGAGUGAGGGCAGCAUCCUCCAGAGGGAAGAACUCCAUGUGCUCACAUGGCAGAGGGUGGACAACAUACAGCAUGCCUCUUUUAUAAGGGCUUUCAUCCCAUUCUUGUGGGAAGGUGCUCUCAUGACCUAAUCAGCUCUUAAAGGCCCCACCUCCCAACACCGUCACAUUGGCAACACCUGAAUUUUGGCGGAGACACUUUCAAACCACCACAUACAAUCUUUAAAGAGGUGAUCAUGAGGUGAUUGAGUGGUCCUAGUCUAAGAGGACUUGACUUUAUAAGAAGAGGAAAUUUGAACACAGGUACAGAGGGAAGACCAUGUGAAGACACAGGGAGAUGGCCAUUUAAAGCUAAGGAGAAAAGGAAGAAAACAUACCUGCCAACACCCAGAGCUUGGAUUUUUAGCCUUUGGAACAAUGGGAGAAUAUAUUUCUGUUAAGCCACUCAGUCCAUGGUACUUGGUUAUGCAGCCUUAGUAAACACCUCUCCUGCCUAUUUGCUUUCUUAAUUGUUAAAAUUACAACCUUAUCUUGUAGUCAAUAAUGUACUAUUUAAAUCUUAAUUUUAUAAUGUUUACACUUUUGUUAAGGGUUUACUAAGAGUAGAAACAUGUCUUAAAGGUUUUAAGAAUUUCCAUCGUUCGGUGGCUCACGCCUGUAAUCCCAGCACUUUGGGAGGCUGAGGCGGGUGGAUCACAAGGUCAAGAGAUCGAGACCAUCCUGGUCAACAUGGUGAAACCCCAUCUCUACUAAAAAUACAAAAAAUUAGCUGGGCAUGGUGGCGCGUGCCUGUAAUCCCAGCUACUCAGGAGGCUGAGGUAGGAGAAUUGCCUGAACCCAGGAGGCGGAGGUUGUGGUGAGCCAAGGUCGUCCCAUUGCACUCCAGCCUGGGUAACAAGAGCGAAACUCCGUCUCAGAAAAAAAAAAAAAGAAUUUCCAUUGUUAGUGUGAUUUUGAAACAAAAGCUAGAUGGUCCUUUAGUAGCACUAAUAAAGAAAAAAAAGAGGAGACAAAAGUUAACAAAGGGGCCAGAUCCACAGAUACAGUCCAGAGUUUCUGAAAGCAUAAAAACUCUCUAAAGUAUGUAAUAAUUUUGAAAAUUUAGAUUACAGUGACAAUGAUUUAUAGAAAAAAAUUACAAAAU